UUGAAACCUCGUGAGUUGUGAGGUUAGCAGCAUUUGUGGAGAACCGUGGACAACGCAACUAAAUUGGAAUUUCCAUGUGUUCAUGACAGUAUUGUAUUUCAGUAGCCCAAUAUUCAACUAACACACUUGAAAUUGAUUUUAUUUCGUGUAUAAAGGUCAGUGGUUAGAUUGUUGGCGACUUUGGUUUGAGAUAGUGUGUGAAGUUUUGAGUGUAAUUAUAUUAGGUUUUGUUUAUCUCAACAAACCAUCAGUGUUCAGUGGGCGUACAAGUCUCGAAUGACAACAGCGAGGGGCUGAGAAAUGGAUGACAAGAAAACUGUUUGGCUGAAAAAAGAAGGAACAAAUGGGGUGAUGCAGUUAUCUAUAGUGAAGAGCUACCUCGAAGAAGCUGCAUGGUGAAGAUUUUGGCAACUUCCUCUAAAUGUCCAGAAGUGUAAAAUUUUGCACUUCACAAAAAAAUUUUGUCACAGGUCCAGGUUUACUCAUCCAGUGUGCAUGUAACAGAAGAAUUACAGGAUGGUGCGGAUCAAGAGGUAAUUCUAGAGAGUGAGAGAGAGAGAGAGAGAGAGAGAGAGAGAGAGAGAGAGAGAGAGAGAGAGUCUAUAAAAUCUGUUAUAUCAAUAUACAACUGUGGUGAAAGGAUGGUUGCCCAUUAGCACAAAGAUUUUCAGUGUAAUGACAGACAGAUAUGAUAUGCCUUUAGCAGAAAGUGAGAGGAAAAGCAGGCAAAAUACAGCAUCUUUUAACCUCUGUACUACAUGAACUGAAACAUUAUCACUGAACAGUAAAGUGUGUUUAGCAUAUAUUACAUGGUGGUAUAAUUAAACUUUCACUACUUCUGAGAGCCCCCAUGAAAAAUGAGUGAUCCUAUGACUGUGAAACACUGUGGAAACAUUUGUAAGGACAUGCAGAAAAAAAUGAUGAAUAAAUCAUUGAAACAAA